CCUACGGGUGACAGCAGUAGGGAAUCUUUCACAAUGGGCGAAAGCCUGAUGGAGCAACGCCGCGUGCAGGAUGAAGGCCUUCGGGUUGUAAACUGCUUUUAUAAGCGAGAAAUAUGAUGGUAACUUAUGAAUAAGGAUCGGCUAACUACGUGCCAGCAGCCGCGGUCAUACGUAGGAUGCGAGCAUUAUCCGGAGUGACUGGGUGUAAAGAGUUGCGUAGGUGGCAUAAUAAGUAGCUAGUGAAAUCUGGUGGCUCAACCAUUCAGACUAUUAGCUAAACUGUUAAGCUCGAGACCGUUAGGGGUAACUGGAAUUUCUAGUGUAGGAGUGAAAUCCGUAGAUAUUAGAAGGAACACCAAUAGCGUAGGCAGGUUGCUGGGACGGUUCUGACACUAAGGCACGAAAGCGUAGGGAGCAAACGGGAUUAGAUACCCCAGUAGUC
rnacentral:rRNA from 1 species